UCUGAACAAACCCCAACUGCGCUGAAAAUCGCCACCCCCGGGGGGGGAACUCCUGGGCACGCUUCCCCUAUGCCGAUCAGGGCAUAGGACAAACCCCUGCCAGGGGCCCAACAGGUGGCAUGCCGGAGCAUUCCACACCUCUCAUCACCAUGGAAACAUGAGGACUACCCCAUCCUGAGACCCGAGUGGACUGGCUCCAAAGCUAUGCCUCUCUGGAGCAUAGCCAUGCCUCCCGGAGGCGUGGUUCCACCCCUGAUCCAGCCUUCAACAGCCACACCUGCUUGCUGUUGCCCUAGAGGGGAGAGUUCUAAUGGAACAGCAUUAGAACAAGGUUUCCAGCUCCUGGCCCUGCCACAGCCUCUCCUGAUCUUUCUCUGCAGAGGUGUGGCAGCAAAAGCAAUGAGGGAGAGACACAAAAAUCUGCAAAAGACACCUACUACUACUUCAACUCUACCAAGCAUGAGCUGAAAAGCCAGCGGCUCAUCACAGGCAAGAGAUUGUCAACAGGGAGGCAGUCUGUCCAUCAACUUACUCAAGCUUCAAGACACAAAUAUUUAGAGAACAUCAGUAGUAGAAAUAUGUAUGGUUUUAAUUGAAAUGGUUUUGAGUUGAAUUGUUAUUGUUUGUAGUGUUAAAUUGUCAUGUUGUAACUUCUAAGCAUUAAGCCUGUGACAUGCUAAUCUAAAAACAUUUUAAUGUUGGUAGUUUUAACUGACAGCUUCUGGAUGUGAGCAUCACAGCUCCAUGAUGCACAAGGUGCAUCACUACCUGUUAAGUGAAAAAGCCCUGUUAACCUAAGCUCAUCAAUUAUAUUUUUCAAUAUAACUAAAAGGGUGAGUUGUGGCAUUCAAGUCUAUGGGUGAGCAAGGAUAGGUUGGAUUCAAUCUACACAGGGACUCUCAGUAAAUGUCCUCCAGUUCUAAAUGCAGAUGUAUCACUGGCCAGAGAGCUGGAUGGGGCUAAGACCUCAACCAAUCACAUAUGUAACCUAUAAAAGGAACUGGAGGAAUAAACUCGAGGCUGUUCAUCACAGGAAACUUUGGUGUGUUUUCCCUGUCUCCAACAACUGACCCCACGAAACACGUUGAUAACAAACUUAAUUGCUAAAGAUAUACCUUGGGAUUCAGAGAAAAUGUUGGAGUGAAACCCAGUUUCCAUAGUUUUCAAAAGAAGAUAAAGUAGCUGGAAUAAAGUGAAAUAAAUACGGCACAGAAUGUGAAACACAUUGUUAAUUAGAGUUGUCUGGGAUUCACAUCAGGGACAAUAAUCCUCUUAUACUUCAUGCCAGAAGAUCAUCUUCAUGGAAAUCUGACAACUUCAGACGUGUCAGUGCAAAGUUGUUGAACUUCUCACACGCUGUCAGACGGAGCUGACUAGGAGGUACUGCAGUGAUACCAUUGGGAAAGGAAAAAAAAAAUCUACUUGUGGAGUUGAAGAAGAUGGCCACAAUCUGGUUAUACAAUGAAAAUGAGAUCAAGCAUAAAUAUGUGUCUCUCACGCAGGAGAGUAGAGACAAGAGUGUAUGUUGAAAAUAAGGAUAUACAGGAUGAGGAAGAAAGAGAGGCCAAAGGAGGAUGACAGACAUUAUAAAAUUAAAGAUGGAGAAAAUCAGGAUUGGACCAUCCCUCCUUCUCUGAUUCAAAGCAAGCUCUGGCUCAGUCUCAUAACUAAUCUCUGCCUGCAGGCUAGUCUGCAAUGAAUCUGUCCACCUGUCCUGUGCAGGUAUGUCCCAAUUGGUGUAACAAGUAAUUAGUUGCUGGAACUGAAUUAGGGCAUUUUUUCUGCCAGGCAAAUUCUUUAAUCAAUGAAAGAUGGACUCAUUUUCAUUCUGAGAUGCAAGUGCUGUAUAAAAAGCACAACUUUCAACAGAAAUACCGAGAGAAGCCAUGUUUCCAUAUCUAAAUUACAGGGAGUAGAACAACUGCCCAGAAACUCAUGCAGACUUGUUAAAAUGCUUAAUAGGCAGAUCUGAACCUUAAUCCUGAACACAUUUUCUAGCUAAAGAAAAAUAGGUAAUUUUUCUUGUUUUAAAUUGUCCAAGAAGGAGGGAAUAAAUCUCCCUCACUUUAUUUUAAAUCAAAUAUCUGCUUUCAUUAUUUAAUUUUUUUAGAUUAGUGAACAGAAUAAUUUAUUAAUCACAGGAUCUUUUUCUGUAGAUUUCUAAUGCACUACUGUGUGGGAUUUGUGUUGCAUUCUUCUGAAAACUUUAAAAGUAGAUACCAUUGUCUUCCAUAAGCCACUCAUCCAAAGCAAUGGAUUAAAAUAUUUUUCCCUUCUGUCUCCUGUGGACCAGAAGACCUUUUCCUUGCACUCUGCUUCUGAACCAGUUUUUCAAUAUAAUCUGAGCUAGACUUGUUCAAAGUCACUUGAAUGGAAUCAACCACAUAUAGUUUACUGAGUUAAAAACUGACCAGCUUUAAUGUAGUAAAACUUAGGACAGUUAAUGCAUGUGCCAUUUCUGUGAUGCAGUAAGUUUCCAAUAAUAUAUAAAUAACUAUGAUAAGAAUUUUCAAUCUAAAAAGUGUGUAUGCAUAUAUAUAUAUAGACAGACUAUUCCCAGUCCAGCACUUGGUUGUUCUUUCUUUUUAAAUAUUUUCACAGAUUGUAGUACUUGACAGUAAGCCUAUUCAAAUAAACUGCAAACCAAUAAAUAACCACAGAAAAAAAGAUGCAAUCUAAAGGGUAAUAAGAUGCAAAGCCUAUUCCUAAUAUAAAAUAAUACUAUGUCUAUAUAAUAGAUCAUCCAUUUAAUAGAUCAUUCAAGUGCCAUGCCAAGGUUAAAUAACUUAGAGAAUAAUGGGCUAGUUUAUGUUUGCAAAGGUCCUUUUCACUUACACUGAAAUUCCUGGAAUUGCAUAAAUGAAAGGGUUUUUCUUGUUGUUUCAGAAUUGUUUAUUUUAUGAACUUCAUUCUCGAAGAUCAUUGUUUUCUCUGCUGUCUCCAAUAGAGGAUUUAAUACAUUCUAUGGAAUACACUGUACUGGCUACUGGUGAAAUCCAAAUCCAAUUACCUGCAAACUCCUACAGUAUGGUCUGAGGUGCAAGGUUGUAGGAAUGAUCCUUCAACCUUGCUUUAUUUUAGGUGUCACUGUCAGAAAGAUGAAUAGUUGUGUUUCUGUUUCCAAACAUGUUAGCCUUUCUGGAAAUUUGCCAUGUUCUUUUAUGCAAACUAUCUUGAUAGAUUUCACUGAGAUGCUUUUGGAAAGACCAAUGAUAGCAAAAAAAAAAAAAAUGGUCCUUGUUAUGUCUAGGCCUUGCUUUACAGUUGUCUGAAUAUUUUAUAUGUGGUUGCAAAGCCACCCUGAGAUAAUGGUUUCUGAUCAUGAGAGAUGACUUUUUUUUAAAGCAAAAACAUGCACAAGUAGACAAAAUUCAAAUGUUGGGUUCAAACCUUAAUUAAUUUCUCUCAUAUUAGAAAAAGCUUUUAAAUAAUCUCUCACAAAAUUGACUUCUAUUAGCUGGAAAUGAUGUGAUAAAACAUAGCUUUAACCAAAUAGUUCUUUGGAGUUCAGAAAAGCAAAUUCAGAAGAUGUCACCUUAAAAAAUGUCCAAUUCAAUUGCAUUUCUUCCAUGUCAGGGUCUUAUUCUCCAAAAGCAUAUUUAUGUCAUAUGAAAACAAAAAGGCAUACUAUUCCUUUGACUAAAAUGAUUCACAUGCGCUUUUAUUGCUCUGCAUAUAAGAGUUUAUAUCUUUAAAUUGUUUUCACACACACUCUGUCAGCAGUGAACAAAAGAAAGAGACUGGGAAACUGAAGCAUAAUAAACUUACAAAGUAUGAAUCCAACACUUCACUUAAUUAGUUUGAUUCCAUAAAGAAUAAUUUAUAGCAACUAAUUAUGCAGUUUUUGUCAUUUAAAUGUUGAAGUAAAUAUAACCCAUCCAUUUUGUUCUUGAAGCUUAUUUUAAGAAUUGGAAACAAGCCACUGCUGUCCUGGCAGCUUGCUCAGACUGGUCCUCUGCUUGAUGAGUUAAGGGUUAGCCCAUUAGCUUUCAGGAAUUAUGUGCUUAAAUAUGUUUUUACUUAGCCAGCUAUCAUGUAAAUAAGUAGCUGAGAGAGAAAGGCCAUUGGUCCCCUUGUGGACCAGGAUGCAUGACCACACGUACGCACCUUUUGUUUCCUCCUCUCUGCUCAAAGGCACUGUUGUGUUAUACCAAAUUUUUUUUCAAUUACUUGGACAUUGUUUUUAUGAUAAGAAAAGUACUUACCUUUUCAGUCAUUACCUUAUUUUUUUUCCUCUUGUUUUGGUAAAAAUAGAACUUUGAUAUGAAAUAUUUAUUUUAAUGUUUACAAAAAAUAUAUAUCUUUAACAAUGAAACAUGCACAGCAAUGCAGAAAGCUGCUGUACUAAUGAAGAGCCAUGGAAGAAAGAAAAUACUUCUGGAAAUAAAUUUUUACUGAUAAAAUCAUUCAGAUUAAUUUUUUCCUACUAGUUUUAAAGAAAAUAUCAGUUUACUGAAGUGUCAGUUUUCUGAAAUGUGGGCCAACAGAUACCUGCAGGUCAAACAACUCUGACUGAAAUAUAUGUUUAGAGCUUUCCUCUCUGUUACACUCCUCAUUACUAGGAGACAUGCAAGGUGGGAGUUCCCCACUGAAUACGUUCAAAAGCACAGGUUCUAAAUAAAAAAUUCCAUGUUCAGCAGGAUAGUCAGUGGUUUUUCAUCACUGGAUGCUGAUAACCCAUCCAAACCUGCCUGUCUCCUUAAAGGACCCUCAAUGAGAUGAAGGUGUUUCAUGAUACAUUUUUUUUGCAAGCUUGUAAUGUAUUAUUUAUCAAUAGAGCUCCUUCCAAAUAUUAAUAAUACAUGUUCUCCUACUUCUGCUGUGAAAUCCUUUUUUUUCUUCCUCCAGCUUUACUAAGUUCAGAAAAUAAAUUUAAACUUUAUCCUGUGAAAUAUUAUGUGAUCUAUAGCAUGGCUUCUUUGGCAUAAGUCCUUUGCAAAACUGUGGUCCUGAUUAUGUGAGACAAAAACAUUA